rnacentral:rRNA from 1 species
AUUGAACGCUGGCGGCAGGCCUAACACAUGCAAGUCGAGCGGAGCGGCGGACGGGUGAGUAAUGCCUAGGAAUCUGCCUGGUAGUGGGGGAUAACGUCCGGAAACGGGAGCUAAUACCGCAUACGAUUGAAUGAGCCGCUGUCGGAUUAGCUAGUUGGCGGGGUAAAGGCACACCAAGGUGAAGAUCCGUAACUGGUCUGAGAGGAUGAUCAGUCACACUGGGACUGAAACAAGGCCCAGACUCCUACGGGAGGCAGCAGUGGGGAAUUAUGGACAAUGGGCGAAAGCCUGAUCCAGCCAUGCCGCGUGUGUGAAGAAGGUCUUCGGAUUUUAAAGCACUUUAAGUUGGGAGGCGUUACCAACAGAAUAAGCACCGGCUAACUUCGUGCCAGCAGCCGCGGUAAUUC